rnacentral:lncRNA from 1 species
GCCAUUGUUUCUCUGUGUGAUCCAAAGAAAACCCGCAUCCCAAUCUCACGCUGGAUUUGUUCAAUACGGAUUCCUGAGUCUCAUCCAAACCCAAUGAGUCAGAAUGUCUAGGAUUGGGGCACAGAGAUCUGCAUUUUGAACAAAGCUGAUCCCCCAUCCCAAGAUUCUUCUGCACCCUGGAGUGUGGGAACUGUGGUUCUAGUCAGUACACUUGAUGUCAAGAUGUUGCAAAUGCCCUUGUCUAGAUGAAGACUUUACCGUACUACAUUAAGGGUCUGCAAGAGAAAACCCAGCCAAGGAUUCUCAGAACAACCCGAGCAACUUUCCUAUCCUGUCUCUCCUGAUGAAGGCUCCUGCUGCUUCUUAUGAGAUGUUCACUAAGCAUUGAUGGAAAUGGAGAGAAGUUUCAAAGAGAAGAGAGCUCAGAUUUGGGCUAUGGGACAAAUGUGGAAGGAGGAAGAAGGAAAUGAAAGGUGGAGUGUGGACAGAGUGGUGACUCUUGGAAAGGAAGACCUGAGGGAG